AAGGUUGAUUGAAGUGUUGGUCAAUUUUUUGAGUUAUGUUAUUUCAAAACAUGAGAACUUUUCUGGUUAGAAUCAUUGGAUAUCUCAUAGUUUAGUCCCUUUGAUGUAUGGUUUUUUCUCGCUGUUUUGUUGUCUCCUUGAAAUUGUAUUGAUUAUUUUUCGUUUGGUAUGUAUAUGAUCUCACUUGGAAAAAACUUUCCUCCUUUUAAUGUUUUUCUUUUUUCCUUCUCAUUCAACUCUUCUAAAUAUUUUUGGUGUGAGUUAUGACUAUUUUCGGCAAGCUUAUUUUGAAGAAUAUGAAACAAAACCUGCUCUAAAUAAAAG
rnacentral:lncRNA from 1 species